ACAAUCCCAUUCAAACAACGCCUUCGACCCAUCGUCCAUUCAAACGAUCUCUUAUAUAUCUAUGUCGAUCCUGGCUUUGGCCUAUUAUCCUUACUACCACAGCAAGUUUGCUAGCAAGAAUUUUCUUACAAGAAAUGGCAGGAAGUUCUAUGAGGGCUGCUCUGGUGACUCUGUUCAUCUUCGCAAUGGUUCUGUCUCCGAUUACAACCUCCGAGGCUGCUCGGUUCACGUUUCUAGGUAAUUCCCAGAUACCAUCAACAGUAUAACGUACACUGACAAAUGUUGUUGUUUUGGAUUGGGGAAUGUUGAUCUUGAUUUUUAUUUUAUUUUUGCUUUGCAGAUACAACUCCCAUAUGUCCUGCUUGUGUUUGCUGCGCACCUCCACCGCCGGGCUCUUGCUGCGAUUGUUGUGCCUCACCGAUUGAAACUCAGUCCGAGCAAGGGUCUCCAUAGGACAGCAAAUAUGUUUGUCAUGAAGAAGAGUACACGUAUAUGUAAUUAUCUAUAAAUAAUGGGGUUCACGGUGUCAGAGAAAAAGAACCAUCAUUUGUAUGUAGAAAGUGAUGACAUGGUUGUUUCAUAAUGAAGCAAUAAGAUUAAUUAAGAUUGUAUAAGGAUUAUUGUAUCCUUACACAUGUAUACUUCAAACAUAUAUUUCUCUUUAUACAGUAGACAUAUUACAAAUUAGUGAGAUAGUUCUAAUCAUCAUAUUGGUUCUCAUCCUAAUUAGGGCCGGGUUAACUUCAUAUAAACCCAAUGAUUUUUAUACAAAAUAAGACAACAUUAAAUUACAAAAUUCUUACUACAACCAAACACUUAGAGAGUCAAAAUAGAAGGCUUAACCAGCUGCAAGAGGAAGGGAUAUGUCCCAGGCUUGCGUUCCAAGUUGAUGUUCCAACUUUGCAAUAGCUUCCGCCACAAAAAAGUUAGAUUCCCGAUGAACAUGUGUGAAAAAAACUUGUCCAAUUUGAGAGGCAAAGAAAAUGAUAUCUUUGACAAGAACUUGAAUCUUUCAAGGGGAAAGACACGUACCAUUGAUGGAUUGAUAAGGAUUUGUGAAUCUCCUUCAACUAUAAUUUUUGGAUAACCAUGGAUCAAGGCUGCUAAUAAACCCGUACACAACGCAGAAGGUUUAGCAGUAAGUACAUCAUUAUUUUUAGUAGAUGCUAGAAUUGGUUGACCAUCUGCAUCUCUAAUUACAAACCCUGAUGAGGCAGAGUGAUUCUGAACGGAUCUGUCAAAAUUGAGUUUAAGUGUCUGAGGAGGAGGAGCAUGCCAACGAAUAGGCUUAAUAAACCUAUAAGAUUUCUUAGUGUAAUAAGCAUUAACAGUAGAAUAAUAACAAAAAAAAAUUCGUUGCAAAGUAAACAACAUUUUCAGGAUGGACGACAUGGUUUCUAAAUAAAUAAAUGUAAGAUCAUUUCUUGCUUUCCAAAAACCUACCACUAAGGUCCCAAACCCGGGUCCAAGAAUGAGUACGUGUGUGCCCAUAGUCUAAAGCCCAUCUCAUCCCAUCUAAUUAAGCCCCAAACAGCCCACAGUGGAAACCCAAAUGUGCUAUGGACACCCAAUCUUGCCUUGUUGAUGUCCUUCGAUAACCGACUGACUUGGACGACGACCACACCCGAUCGGUUUGGAAAUGCAGCCACAACACCACUCGUCAGAGAACGCCCGUAGCGUACCAUGAUUUAUUGACAUAGAAAGAAAAAACGUUAACAUAGUAAGAAAAAAUGAAGCCUCUGAAUAAACAUAUGGGACAUACCUUCUCAUUUUUUUUUUUUUUGUCAAUUUAGAUGGCUUUUGCAUUUAGCUCUGUUCUCUAAUUUUGUCAAAUUAGGCACAUCCUCAUUAUCUAGCUUCUCUCUUCUAUAUGAAGAGUUGCCAAGUCAACUAUGAUCAAUGGAGAAAUUGGACAACAAGCCUCGAGCUUUAGUGGUGCUAACUAGUUCGUUAUAUAACGAACACAACUGGAUUUUAAGCUAGUUAUUUCGUUAAUGAUGUAUGAACCUUUCACAUUUAUGAACACGUUAAUGAUUUUCAAUUUAGAUACAAAUUUGCAGAGAUGAUCUACUCAUAUAUACCUAAAAACUAGACGAUCGAUCUUCAAUUUAAAUAUCCGAUCAAAAAGUGAUUGAAAUAAAGAAGUCCUCAACUUAGUAAUUCUCAUUAAAAAGGGCUAUGAAUCCGUAAAAUAAAUGGACGAAUUGUAUGCCAGUGUUUAAUGGUGAACAGUUGAGAAAAAGAGGAAGAAAUGAUCUAGAAUGUCAAUGUAUACAUGUUGCAGCAAAGUGGAAAGUCAACAAUCCCAUUCAAUCAACGCCUCCGACCCAUCGUCCAUUCAGACAAUCGCUUAUAUAUCUAUGUCCUGGUUUGGCCUAUUAUCCUUGCUACCACAGCAAGUUUGCUAGUAAGAAUUUUGUUAUACAAGAAAUGGCAGGAAGUUCUAUGAGGUCUGCUCUGGUGACUCUGUUCAUCUUCGCAAUGGUUCUGUCUCCGAUUACAACCUCCGAGGCUGCUCGGUUCACGUUUCUAGGUAAUUCCCAGAUACCAUUAACAGUAUAACAAUGUAAACGUUGUUGUUUUGGAAUGGGGAAUGUUGUUCUUGAAUUUUUUUGCUCUGCAGAUACAACUCCCUUAUGUCCUGCUUGCGUUUGCUGCGAUUGUUGUGCCGGACUGAUUCAAAAACAGUUCGAGCAAGGGUCUCCAUGAGAGAGAGAGAGAGAGUUGUUUUAAGGAGAGUAUAUGUAUAUAUCUAUAUAUGGGGUUCUUAGUGUUAAAGAAAAAAUAAUCAUCACACGUAUAGAGAAAGUUGUGACAUGGGUUUCUAGCUCAUGGGGAAACCAUGUUCUAUCAAGGUUUUGGUGUUUCAUAGUGAAGCAAUAAGAUUAAGCUUGUAUAAGGAUUAUAUAUUGUAUCCUUAGACAUGUAUACUUCAACACCGUUAUAAAGAGAAAUAUAUGAAAGACAUACAUAAGUUAUCUUAGCGUUAUAAGGAGUGUGUAUUAUCAUUUGAAUCGAAAUUAUAGGCCGAUUUGAAGAUUGGAAGUAUAAAAAGUUCUUGUGAUUAUCCCUAAUUACAUACACCUUCCAACUAGGGCCGGGCGCGGGCCAAGACCGGCCACAGAUUUGGCAAGACCGGGACCGGACCGGCGGUACAGAAACUGGUCCAAGCUUCCACCUGAAAAUUUCCCAGACUGACCAAAGCCCAGACCAACCAAAAACUGGCCGAUCCUUCGGGCCUUCGAUACUUCACAAUGCGGUCUGAAAAUUGAAGCUCACACUAUGACACUAUCAAUCAAAAAUGACUCUUUCAGUCUUCAAUUUCAGUUUCAGCCUAAUUCAAAGUUCAAACUCAGAGAGAAGAAACUAGAAGAUGAAGAAGACGACUCACAUAUCGACUAUGGUUAACGUACAAUGGUCGACGAAUUCCAG
rnacentral:lncRNA from 1 species